AGGAUGAACGCUAGCGGCAGGCCUAAUACAUGCAAGUCGAACGGUGGUAGCAAUACCAUAGUGGCGCACGGGUGCGUAACGCGUAGCCAACCUACCCGAAUCUGGGGGAUAGCCCGCCGAAAGGCGGAUUAAUACCGCAUAAGGCUUGGAACCGGCAUCGGUUCUUAGUUAAAGAUUUAUUGGAUUCGGAUGGGGCUGCGUGCCAUUAGCUGGUUGGGGGGUAACGCCCACCAAGGCGACGAUGGCUA
rnacentral:rRNA from 1 species